UAUGCCCUGGUGUAAAGAGCACAUGAAGUUUUGAUCUUCGGAGGAAUGGUGUAAUUCCAUUGGGUGUAA
rnacentral:tRNA from 1 species